GCACUCACUGCACCAGCACAUAUACUAAAAUUGGAAGGAUACAGAGAAUAUUAGCAUGGCUUCUGUGCAAGGAUGACA
ensembl:snRNA U6 U6 spliceosomal RNA